rnacentral:tRNA from 2 species
GCAUUGAUAGUUCAAUGGUAGAAUUCUCACCUCGUAUGUGGGAGACCCAGGUUCGAUUCCCAGUCAAUGCA